CAUCCCACUGGAACAGUCACACCUGCUGGAAAAGUCACACCUGCUGAAAUACUAGAGCUGCUGUAAGCCCUGAGGAGCAUGUGCUUCUCCCAAAAUGUUUCAUGGACUGUUCUUUCCGCUUCCUUACAGGUUGGACACAUCCUCAUAUCAUGUCAAAAGCAGUUCUUGGAAGGAUAAAAGAAAGAGUUUGAGAGGAGUGCCAAAGCAAGAGAAUAAAAAGGUGUAUUCCAGUAUGCUAGUAACUUGAUUUGAAUGCUACUAACUAUACCAAGGGCUCUCCAUGAAACUUUAAGUAGGAGCAUACAAAGCUUCUUUCUUGUUUUGUGAGAGCAAUCCCAUACAGGAGAAAAAUGGUGAGUAUCUUGCUCCAGACUGUGUGCUGUUUAAAGCCAAGUCUCACAUUUCAGUAUCUGAUUGAGUUUAUUUUCCUGCCUAUAAUUCAAAAUUAAUGAAACUAUGCUUGUCUUGCACUUUUGUAAAGGUCUGGAUGGUCACUAGUCUUUCCUGUGAAAGGACUAUGAUUUUGGCUUGCCUUUUUCCCUUUCUAGACAUUUAUCUACCUGUCCCCAUCUUAGUGUUCUGAAAGCAGAAUUACAGCAAUUUCACCUCCUUCAUUGCCUG
rnacentral:lncRNA from 1 species